rnacentral:rRNA from 1 species
UACGAGAGGCCCAAACGUUAUUCGGAAUUACUGGGCUUAAAGAGUUCGUAGGCGGCGCAGAAAGUAGGGUGUGAAAGCCCUCGGCUCAACCGAGGAAUUGCGCUCUAAACUACUGUGCUUGAGGAAGCUAGAGGUGAGCGGAACUGAUGGUGGAGCGGUGAAAUGCGUUGAUAUCAUCAGGAACACCGGAGGCGAAGGCGGCUCACUGGGGCUUUUCUGACGCUGAGGAACGAAAGCCAGGAGAGCGAACGGG